rnacentral:rRNA from 1 species
AGAGUUUGAUCAUGGCUCAGAACGAACGCUGGCGGCAGGCUUAACACAUGCAAGUCGAACGAGAAGCUCACUUCGGUGAGUGGAAAGUGGCAGACGGGUGAGUAACGCGUGGGAAUAUACCCAGAGGUACGGAACAACGCCGGGAAACUGGUGCUAAUACCGUAUGUGCCCUUCGGGGGAAAGAUUUAUCGCCUUUGGAUUAGCCCGCGUUAGAUUAGCUUGUUGGUGAGGUAAAAGCUCACCAAGGCGACGAUCUAUAGCUGGUCUGAGAGGAUGAUCAGCCACACUGGGACUGAGACACGGCCCAGACUCCUACGGGAGGCAGCAGUGGGGAAUCUUGCACAAUGGGCGAAAGCCUGAUGCAGCCAUGCCGCGUGUGUGAUGAAGGCCCUAGGGUUGUAAAACACUUUCAGUGGGGAAGAUAAUGACGGUACCCACAGAAGAAGCUCCGGCUAACUCCGUGCCAGCCGCCCGCGGUAAUAC